ensembl:lncRNA
CUUUAACAGAACAGCUUUAACAGAACAGCUUUAACAGAACAGCUUUAACAGGACAGCUUUAACAGAACAGCUUUAACAGGACUUUAACAGAACAGCUUUAACAGGACUUUAACAGAACAGCUUUAACAGAACAGCUUUAACAGGACUUUAACAGGACAGCUUUAACAGGACUUUAACAGAACAGCUUUAACAGAACAGCUUUAACAGAACAGCUUUAACAGGACAGCUUUAACAGGACAGCUUUAACAGAACAGCUUUAACAGGACUUUAACAGAACAGCUUUAACAGGACUUUAACAGGACAGCUUUAACAGGACUUUAACAGAACAGCUUUAACAGAACAGCUUUAACAGGACAGCUUUAACAGAACAGAACAGAACAUGUUUAUUGUCUAUACCCAUCCUGAACACAUGUCUGGUGAACAUUGGUUAGCUAUGACAUUAGAAGAUGACGAAGAUGAAGGAGGAGGUGGAAAAAUCUCAACAAGUAUGUCCUUUAAGAACCUAUAAUCAAGGUGUAUGCUGUCAAAUGUUUAAAGAAUGUCACAAAUGUUCAAAUGUAAAAUUAAAAUGAAAUGUAUUGAACUUAAUCAAAAGUCUAACCACCCUGAGAGAUUAGGAAAAGGGGGAGGGGUUCAGGAGUGAGGACUCAUCCAUUAAUGAGUUAUCAUUAACCAUUUCAAAAGAGGGAGGAGUUCCAAGAACCUCUUUAGGAGCUGUAGCUCUUUGAAGGGUUUUGUUUUAAAGUUGAAUCUGUUGGUGAAGCUUAUAGUUUGGUACCUGAGAGGGGAAUGUUGAGGACUGCAGGGCUUUAAGACACUGACUCCACCCAGGAGGUCUUCUAUCCUCAACAAUCUGUUGGUGAAGCUUAUAGUUUGGUACCUGAGAGGGGAAUGGUGAGGACUGCAGGGCUUUAAGACACUGACUCCACCCAGGAGGUCUUCUAUCAUCAGCAUUCUGGUGGGAUGCAGAGAUACUUUUAAACAAGUCCAUCGUAUGAGAACCCCUGACAACGUCCCCCUGAAAGAUAAACUCUCCUUUGUCAUUCCAAGUAGCGGCCCCUUUGAGUCUUAUCUUGUUCAUUAAAGUUCAAUCUGUUGGUGAAGCUUAUAGUUUGGUACCUGAGAGGGGAAUGUUGAGGACUGCAGGGCUUUAAGACACUGACUCCACCCAGGAGGUCUUCUAUCCUCAACAAUCUGUUGGUGAAGCUUAUAGUUUGGUACCUGAGAGGGGAAUGUUGAGGACUGCAGGGCUUUAAGACACUGACUCCACC